GGGAAUGUAGUUUAAGCUUUAUGUGUUGAAGCUAUGGUAAAAUCCCUUGUUUUGAGGAGAUAUGAGUUCGACUCUCAUCAUUCCCACCA
rnacentral:tRNA from 1 species